ACCGCACAACGCGGCGUCGGCAUCGAGCGAGACAUGUUAGACAUGCUUCGCAAGAGGGAACCCGGUGGGAGUCCGGGACUGUCCCGCAGCGGUAUGCAGGAACGACCGCCGUCACGAGCACUGGUCUGGCGAAAAGACUGGGAAGCGACGGCCAUUAGGAACUGCCCGGCUCCUCAGCGGCCCUUCCGGGCCGCAUCGUCGGCCGGGCGUGAGCACCACCUGGUGCGCGCCUGCGAGUCCGAAGACCUGCCAGCUGUGCCGGACGCGC
rnacentral:ncRNA from 1 species